CUGAGGGACUGACUGCCGACUGCGCCUCUCAGCCCGCGCGGAGGGUGCGAAGACCAAACGAUAGAAUCUCACUGUUACCUGGACCAGUGGGCUGGAAGUGGAUGUAGAGGCUUCCUUCAGUAGGCUACCUGGGACCUGAUUCACUGAAAUUUAUCACUUUAAAAAUACUUUUCUCUGGUUAAUUUUCUUUGUGUCAUUUCCUUUGUUGUAUACAUAACAUCACUUGACUCCAUUAAAGUGUUUCAAAGGGUA